AGCCUGGUGGUCACACAGCCUCCUCUCUUGCAGCCUCCACCACGGCCCCAUCGGUUUUCCCACUGGCCCCCUGCUGCGGGACCACAUCCGGCUCCACAGUGGCCCUGGCCUGCCUGGUGUCCAGCUACUUCCCCGAGCCUGUGACUGUGUCCUGGAACUCCGGCUCCUUGACCAGUGGUGUGCACACCUUCCCGUCCGUCCUGCAGUCCUCAGGGCUCUACUCUCUCAGCAGCAUGGUGACAGUGCCCUCCAGCAGGUGGCCCAGUGACACCUUCACCUGCACUGUGGCCCACCCGGCCAGUAAGACCAAGGUGGACAAGCAAGGUGAGAGGACGGGCCUCAGAGACGGUGUCCACUGGGAGACAGGCCAGGUCAGCUGGCCACCUGGACCCCAGGGCACAGGGGAAGCACCGCUCCCCUGUAAGGAAUGUCCCAAAUGUCCAGGCUGUUGUUUGCAGGGAGGACCUUCGGUCUUCAUCUUCCCCCCAAAACCCAAGGACACCCUCUCCAUUACCCGAACCCCCGAAGUCACAUGCAUGGUGGUGGACCUGGAAGACCCUGAGGUCCAGAUCAGCUGGUUCGUGGAUGACCAGGAGGUGCACACAGCCAAGACGAAGGUGCCUGAGGAGCAGUUCAACAGCACCUACCGUGUGGUCAGUGUCCUCCCCAUCGUGCACCAGGACUGGCUCAAGGGGAAGGAGUUCAAGUGCAAGGUCAACAACAAAGCCCUCCCAUCCCCCAUCCAGAGGACCAUCUCCAAGGCCAGAGGGCAGGCCCAUCAGCCCAAUGUGUACGUCCUGCCCCCAUCCCGGGACGAGAUGAACAAGAACACAGUCAGCGUGACCUGCCUGGUCAAAGACUUCUACCCAUCUGAGGUUGAUGUCGAGUGGCAGAGCAAUGGCCAGCAGAUGCCAGAAAGCAGUAUCCGAACAACCCCACCCCAGCUGGAUGCAGAUGGGACCUACUUCCUCUACAGCAAGCUCUCAGUGGACAAGAACCGAUGGCAGCGGGGAGAGGUCUUCACGUGUGCGGUCAUGCAUGAAGCUCUACACAACCACCACACACAGAAAUCCAUCUCCCAGUCUCCGGGUAAAUGAGCAACACGCCCGGGAUCCCAGCAAGCCCCCCACCCAUGGGCUCUCAGGGUCCCACAAGGACGCCAGAGCCCCCACCCCUGUGUACAUACCUCCCAGGCAGGCACCCCUGCAUGAAAUAAAGCACCCAGCACUGCCCUGAGACCCUG